CCCAUAGUUGAAUAUUUGUGUAACAAGCUUGGAGCUUUUGAUAUUCACGCUCCAGCUUGAGGGGGGAUGUUGAGAUUCAUUUUUUGCUAGUUUUAUUUA